AUUUAAAUAGUUUAAAAAAAAAUAUUGAAUUGUGGAUUCAAUGAUAUAUUAAUUAUAUUUUAAAUU
rnacentral:tRNA from 1 species